AGCCACACUGGAACUGAGACACGGUCCAGACUCCUACGGGAGGCAGCAGUGGGGAAUAUUGCACAAUGGGCGCAAGCCUGAUGCAGCCAUGCCGCGUGUAUGAAGAAGGCCUUCGGGUUGUAAAGUACUUUCAGCGGGGAGGAAGGGAGUAAAGUUAAUACCUUUGCUCAUUGACGUUACCCGCAGAAGAAGCACCGGCUAACUCCGUGCCAGCACCGCGGUAAUACAGAGGGUGCAAGCGUUAAUCGGAAUUACUGGGCGUAAAGCGCACGCA
rnacentral:rRNA from 1 species